rnacentral:tRNA from 1 species
GGCCUUGUGGCCUAAUGGAUAAGGCGUCGGACUUCGGAUCCGAAGAUUGCAGGUUCG